rnacentral:rRNA from 1 species
AAUGAACGCUGGCGGCGUGCUUCAGACAUGCAAGUCGAACGUGAAAGUCCUUCGGGAUGAGUAAAGUGGCGCACGGGUGAGUAAUACUUGGGUAAUGUACCCUAUCGCUGGGGAUAACUAGACGAAAGUUUAGCUAAUACCGAAUAGUCCUGUUCUUUCUCCGGAUUGAAUAGGUAAAGCCGUAAGGCGCGAUAGGAGCAGCCCUCGUCCCAUUAGCUAGUUGGCGGGGUAACGGCCCACCAAGGCUACGAUGGGUAGCUGGUCUAAGAGGAUGAUCAGCCACACUGGUACUGGAACACGGACCAGACUCCUACGGGAGGCAGCAGUUAGGAAUUUUGCGCAAUGGGCGAAAGCCUGACGCAGCAACGCCGCGUGAGGGAUGAAGGCCUUCGGGUUGUAAACCUCUUUUAGUAGGGAAGAACACAAUGACGGUACCUACAGAAAAAGCACCGGCUAACUCUGUG